rnacentral:rRNA from 1 species
GACGAACGCUGGCGGCGUGCUUAACACAUGCAAGUCGAGCGAGGCCCACCUUUCGGGGUGGUGUCCUAGCGGCGAACGGGUGAGUAACACGUGGGCAACCUGCCCUCAGCUCUGGGAUAACUCCAAGAAAUUGGGGCUAAUACCGGAUAUGACCGCUGACCGCAUGGUCUGGUGGUGGAAAGAUUUAUCGGCUGGGGAUGGGCCCGCGGCCUAUCAGCUUGUUGGUGGGGUAGUGGCCUACCAAGGCGACGACGGGUAGCCGGCCUGAGAGGGUGACCGGCCACACUGGGACUGAGACACGGCCCAGACUCCUACGGGAGGCAGCAGUGGGGAAUAUUGCGCAAUGGGCGAAAGCCUGACGCAGCGACGCCGCGUGGGGAUGACGGCCUGGUUGUAAC